GUCCAAUUAUCUAAAAACAACUAUAUAUCUUCAAGGAGCUUUUUUGAUUCAUAAAACUAUGUUGCUUUUUAAUAGAUAUCUUCUUGGACUUUAGAAUUUAAAACUUCUUAUACUUUUUUCCAAUAAUCAAGUCUUUUGAACUUAAUCAUUGUUGGCAUCUCUGGUAGUUCACAGAGAUUAUAGAGAGAGAUGAGUUCAGAGGUAGAUUGUGUUACCUGUCUUCCAACUUUAUAAAUAUAUUCUUUGAUAGCUUUCAAAGAACGUUCUUUUUCUGCUAAGUGGUUGAUUAGACUGAUCAUAUGGUGGAAAAACUCCUUUUCAGGUC
rnacentral:lncRNA from 1 species